GACGAACGCUGGCGGCGUGCUUAACACAUGCAAGUCGAACGGAAAGGCCCUGCUGUUGUGGGGUGCUCGAGUGGCGAACGGGUGAGUAACACGUGAGUAACCUGCCCUUGACUUUGGGAUAACUUCAGGAAACUGGGGCUAAUACCGGAUAUGAGCUCCUGCUGCAUGGUGGGGGUUGGAAAGUUUCGGCGGUUGGGGAUGGACUCGCGGCUUAUCAGCUUGUUGGUGGGGUAGUGGCUUACCAAGGCUUGGACGGGUAGCCGGCCUGAGAGGGUGACCGGCGACAUUGGGACUGAGAUACGGCCGAGACUCCUACGGGAGGCAGCAGUGGGGAAUAUUGCACAAUGGGCGGAAGCCUGAUGCAGCAACGCCGCGUGCGGGAUGACGGCCUUCGGGUUGUAAACCGCUUUCGCCUGUGACGAAGCGUGAGUGACGGUAAUGGGUAAAGAAGCACCGGCUAACUACGUG
rnacentral:rRNA from 1 species